GAUGAAGAACGUAGCGAAAUGCGAUAAGUAAUGUGAAUUGCAGAAUUCAGUGAAUCAUCGAAUCUUUGAACGCACAUUGCGCCCGCCAGUAUUCUGGCGGGCAUGCCUGUUCGAGCGUCAUUUCAACCCUCAGGCCCCGCCUGGCGUUGGGGAUCGGCGCGGCCCUCUCCGGGCUGCCGGCCCCGAAAACUAGUGGCGGUCUCGCUGUAGUCCUCCUCUGCGCAGUAGCAACGCUCGCACUGGAACUCGGCGCGGCCACGCCGUAAAACACCCCACUUCUGAAAGUUGACCUCGGAUAAGGUAGGAAUACCCGCUGAACUUAAGCAUAUCAAUAAGCGGAGGA
rnacentral:misc_RNA from 1 species